AUCACCUUUCUGCCUUUUGGCUAAUAUCAGAGUAGUAUAUGUUCUUAUCAGUUUAAUAUCUGAUACGCCUCUAACGGGGUAUUUAUAUUUAUAUUAUAUAUAUUGAAUAGAUGUUUUGAAGGUGGAAGAAGGUGUUGCUCUAUCCACUCUCCACAUUGACCUGCUAUUACAACUCUGGGACCGGUGUAACUAUG